AUACUUACCUGGCCGGGGAGACACCGUGAUCACGUAGAUGGUUUUCCCAGGGGUGAGGCUCUGCCAUUGCACUCCAGCUGUGCUGACCCCUGCGAUUUCCCCAACAUUUGUGUGUAUUUUUAUUACCUUAUUUAUUUUGUUAAUGAGGUGA
rnacentral:snRNA from 1 species